CUUUCUUUGCUGGCGACCGGCGCACGGGUGAGUAACACGUAUCCAACCUGCCCUUUACUCGGGGAUAGCCUUUCGAAAGAAAGAUUAAUACCCGAUAGCAUAAUGAUUCCGCAUGGUUUCAUUAUUAAAGGAUUCCGGUAAAGGAUGGGGAUGCGUUCCAUUAGGUUGUUGGUGAGGUAACGGCUCACCAAGCCUUCGAUGGAUAGGGGUUCUGAGAGGAAGGUCCCCCACAUUGGAACUGAGGCACGGUCCAA
rnacentral:rRNA from 1 species